UCUUCCUUGGUCUAGUGGUCAUGAUUUCCGCUUGUCAGUAAAAUGAGAAGCGCGGGAGACCGGGGUUCGAUUCCCCGAGGGAGAG
rnacentral:tRNA from 1 species